AACAUAGAGGAAAUUCCACGU
rnacentral:miRNA from 13 species